rnacentral:rRNA from 1 species
GACGAACGCUGGCGGCGUGCUUAACACAUGCAAGUCGAGCGGAAAGGCCCUUCGGGGUACUCGAGCGGCGAACGGGUGAGUAACACGUGAGUAACCUGCCCUUGGCUCUGGGAUAAGCCCGGGAAACUGGGUCUAAUACCGGAUAUGACCAUCAGAUGCAUGUCUUGGUGGUGGAAAGAUUUUUCGGCUGGGGAUGGGCUCGCGGUCUAUCAGCUUGUUGGUGGGGUGAUGGCCUACCAAGGCGACGACGGGUAGCCGGCCUGAGAGGGUGACCGGCCACACUGGGACUGAGACACGGCCCAGACUCCUACGGGAGGCAGCA